rnacentral:tRNA from 1 species
GGCUCCAUAGUGUAGUGGUUAGCAUGUCUGCUUUACACACAGAAGGUCCUGGGUUCGCGCCCCAGGUGGAGCCA